GAUGAACGCUGACAGAAUGCUUAACACAUGCAAGUCGAUGGGGAAGUGGUGCUUGCACCAUGGUAACCAUGGCGGACGGGUGAGUAACGCGUAAGGAACUUGCCUGCGGGACUGGGAUAACAGCAGGAAACUGCUGAUAAUACCGGAUAAGGUCAUUAAGCUGCAUAGCUUAGUGAUGAAAGGAGACGCCUGCGGAGAGCCUUGCGUCCUAUUAGCUAGUUGGAGGGGUAACGGCCCACCAAGGCGAAGAUAGGGAGCCGGCCUGAGAGGGUGGACGGCCACAAGGGGACUGAGAUGCGGCCCUUACUCCUACGGGAGGCAGCAGUGGGGAAUAUUGGACAAUGGGGGCAACCCUGAUCCAGCAAUUCUGUGUGCACGAAGACGGUUUUCGGAUUGUAAAGUGCUUUCAGCAGGGAAGAAGGAAGUGACGGUACCUGCAGAAGAAGCGACGGCUAAAUACGUG
rnacentral:rRNA from 1 species